rnacentral:rRNA from 1 species
CAGUCGAGCGGUAGAGAGGUGCUUGCACCUCUUGAGAGCGGCGGACGGGUGAGUAAAGCCUAGGAAUCUGCCUGGUAGUGGGGGAUAACGCUCGGAAACGGACGCUAAUACCGCAUACGUCCUACGGGAGAAAGCAGGGGACCUUCGGGCCUUGCGCUAUCAGAUGAGCCUAGGUCGGAUUAGCUAGUUGGUGAGGUAAUGGCUCACCAAGGCGACGAUCCGUAACUGGUCUGAGAGGAUGAUCAGUCACACUGGAACUGAGACACGGUCCAGACUCCUACGGGAGGCAGCAGUGGGGAAUAUUGGACAAUGGGCGAAAGCCUGAUCCAGCCAUGCCGCGUGUGUGAAGAAGGUCUUCGGAUUGUAAAGCACUUUAAGUUGGGAGGAAGGGCAUUAACCUAAUACGUUAGUGUUUUGACGUUACCGACAGAGUAAGCACCGGCUAACUCUGUGCCAGCAGCCGCGGUAAUACAGAGGGUGCAAGCGUUAAUCGGAAUUACUGGGCGUAAAACGCGCGUAGGUGGUUCGUUAAGUUGGAUGUGAAAUCCCC